rnacentral:rRNA from 1 species
AUGAUAUAUUAUUUAAUCAUGGAAAUGCCAUGUCAGUUGCACCUAAAAAAAUCGGAACAAACCAAUUACCAAAUCCACCUAUCGUCGCCGGCAUAA